AAGUCGUAACAAGGUCUCCGUUGGUGAACCAGCGGAGGGAUCAUUAAAGAGUUGCAAAACUCCCUUUAAACCAUCGCGAACGUUACCCACGACGCCGUUGCCUCGGCGGAGCGUCGCCCCGUGCCGUCAAAAGCACGGGGCGUGCGCCCGCCGGGAGACCGGCACAACCAAACUCUUAUAACCAUUGGCCUCUCUGAGUAAGAUUUUUAAAUAAGUCAAAACUUUCAACAACGGAUCUCUUGGUUCUG
rnacentral:misc_RNA from 1 species